rnacentral:rRNA from 1 species
GACGAACGCUGGCGGCGUGCUUAACACAUGCAAGUCGAACGGAAAGGCCCUGCUUUUGUGGGGUGCUCGAGUGGCGAACGGGUGAGUAACACGUGAGUAACCUGCCCUUGACUUUGGGAUAACUUCAGGAAACUGGGGUUAAUACCGGAUAGGAGCUCCUGCUGCAUGGUGGGGGUUGGAAAGUUUCGGCGGUUGGGGAUGGACUCGCGGCUUAUCAGCUUGUUGGUGGGGUAGUGGCUUACCAAGGCUUUGACGGGUAGCCGGCCUGAGAGGGUGACCGGCCACCAUGGGACUGAGAGACGGACCAGUCUCCUACGGGAGGCAGCAGUGGGAAAUAUUGCACAGUGGGCGGAAGCCUGAGGCAGCAGCGCCGCGUUCGGGAUGACGGCUUUCUGGGUGUGAACCGCUUUCGCCUGUGACGAAGCGGGAGUGACGGUAAUGAGUAAAGAAGCACCGGCUAACUACGUG